CAAGCCCCACGUCAGGCUCUCUGCUGACAGCUCAGAGCCUGGAGCCUGCUUCAGAUUCUGUCUCCCUCUCUCUGUGACCCUCCCCUGCUCACACUCUGUCUCUGUCUCUCUCUCGAGAAUAAAUAAACACUAAAAAAAAUUAUUAAAAAAAAAAAAAGAAGUGUGCUGCAGUGACCAGGCGACAUGGUGUUUUCUUUCAGGUAAGCGACCGAACUCCUUUGAACCUGUUUCCUUGCGCUUGAAAGGCAGAAAAGGCUACUACUGGCCCGUGCUACCUUGUGAAAUUUUGAGGAGGCUCAGAAGAGUAUUUGGAAACACAUGGUUUAAGACUUCCUACCUAAACACAGAUCUCCAGAGACAGAGGAGUGGAAGAAGAGGCAAUAAAUCAUCCACAUUUGGGCAGGAUCAUCUUGCAAAUAACGACAUACCACUCAACCGAGAGGCUAAGUCUGUCAGUUGAGGCUGUGAAAUCCACCGCAGAAUGUCUUAAUUGAAAGAAAAAAAAUAAACACUUUCAGGAAACGAGCCCCGCGCUGACA
rnacentral:lncRNA from 1 species